rnacentral:rRNA from 1 species
GAUGAACGCUAGCGGCAGGCCUAACACAUGCAAGUCGAGGGGCAUCGCGGUGCAGCAAUGCACUGGCGGCGACCGGCGUACGGGUGCGUAACGCGUAUGCAACCUGCCCCGCACCGGGGGAUAGCCCGCCGAAAGGCGGAUUAAUACCCCAUGGUCCCGGGGGCCCGCAUGGGCAUCCGGGUAAAGCCUUGGCGGUGCGGGAUGGGCAUGCGUGCCAUUAGCUGGCUGGUGGGGUAACGGCCCACCAGGGCAACGAUGGCUAGGGGGUCUGAGAGGAUGGUCCCCCACACUGGUACUGAGACACGGACCAGACUCCUACGGGAGGCAGCAGUGAGGAAUAUUGGUCAAUGGGCGGAAGCCUGAACCAGCCAUGCCGCGUGCGGGAUGAAGGCCUACGGGUUGUAAACCGCUUUUCCCGGAAGAUAAGCCCCGCGGGGUGAUGCCGGUACCGGGGAAUAAGGAUCGGCUAACUCCGUGCCAGCAGCGCGGUAAUCAUACUCGUA